CAGAGUUCUUUCUCGGAAUACCCUCAACCAAACCCGCCUGUGGAGGAUGGUGUAGUUGGGGAUGGGAAGCAGAUCACCGGAACUAGGUUGGCCAACACGCAGAACUUUGUCUCUGCCAGAGUAGGACUGCAGGCCAGGGCAGCUUUCGACUCAAAGGCCCUGCAUGUCUAUGCUCCCUUCCUAAGACUCAUGCAGGCUCCAUGUGAACAGGACCAGACCACCCUCCUGGAAGAUGAGUGACCAAAUGGAGCAGAGUCCCUCAUCUGUCCCAUCUCAGCCGAGGCACAAGGAGCCUCUACAAGCUCAGCAGAGCCGAACCUCAUCAGACCCUCCAGCUAAACCCCCAGCUGACUGCGGCAGGCACAUAACCAGGGCCACCCUAAACCUGCCAGGCCUUCGCUGUCUCUACGACUCAAGAGCUAAAUAAAUGUUUGCUUUUAACAAAUAAACCCCAAAAGAGUGACACAUGCCCUCUUACAAGAAAAACCUCAG
rnacentral:lncRNA from 1 species